ACAGGAUGGACCCGGCUCGCCGGUGCUCUGCCUACCUUGCAUAAUCUACCUUUGUUGCUUUGGCGGGGCGCCUCACGGCCAGCGGCUCCGGCUGCUGCGCCCCCGCCAGAGGACCCCAACUCUUGUUUUUAGUGACGUCUGAGUACUAUAUAAUAGUUA
rnacentral:misc_RNA from 1 species